AGAGGAGGGGAUGGGUUAUAUCUGAGCUCAGGGCCGAGGAUUAGGCAGAGAACAGUCCCAGUACGAUGACAGCAUCCAGCACAUAGCCAAACCCCCCACACAUCACUUCACCAUCACCGUCCGGCCCGGGGAGGACGCCGGGGAUAUUUUUCAAAGACAAACAUCAUUCGACCUAAAAAAAAAAAAAAAAAUCUGCGCAUCAGUGAUAUUUUCUGGGUUCACGUUGCCAGUCUCCCGGUCCGUCUGUCUCCUCCUCCGACCACGAGGUGGCCGCAACCAGGUUGGGAUUGGCCCUGAUGAUCACACGGAGCCCCCUCCACCUCUUUUCAGCCAAUCUCGGAGGGGCUGCAGAGCUGAUGUCUCAGAGGGCGAGAGGUUAUUUGUGUUCUGGAGUCUUGAAGAGACAAGCCACAUCACGAUAAAUGGAGGAGAAGGAGCGAUGUAGGAGCAGGUCUCCAGCUCGGAGGGCAAGUCGGGUGCAGCAGGUGGUGGGAACAAUAAUACGUCGCACGCGAGAGUCGCU